rnacentral:lncRNA from 1 species
GACCACCCUCCCGAUGAGCUGUUCAUCCCUGUGCUCCUCUCUUCCCUCUGGCUGCCCCAACAGCAGUCACCUCCUGCAUUUUAGUUUACCUGCUGAACAUACAGAAUGAGGAUGAGAUGGCUGAACUGCUGCAAUGUGAAAUGCAGCUGCCAUGGCUGAUGUUUACAGGUUUGUUACAGAGGCACCAUUAAAGCCAGGUGUUUUAAUGUUGUGGAAGAUGACAAACUGGAGAAUGCAUCAGAGAAGGAUGACAGCAUGGGGAGACUGACAUUCAGCAGGACUUUGGGAGAAGACUUCUGGACUCGCAGCAGCAUCAGGAAAUGCCAGACCAUGACUGUGCUGGGACAUUUUGAUCUUUUGGUCAACGUUCUGGUAGGUCAUGUGGAAAUUUUUCAGAUUUUGAUACGCAGAGAUACGGUCUUAAACCCCUCCAGUGGAAAUUUAUGGUUUUAUUUUGUCUUCCUCUUCUUCUUCCCCAGUGCUUUCAAGUGACCAAAGUCUUUCACCGGUCAUGUUGUUUCCCCUCUCGCAGGCAGCAGAGCUGCCUAUAUUAGGAAAUGCGGCCGAGCCAACUGUGAUGUACGGCGGCGUCAGGGAGCAAGGGUGAAACCGCG